rnacentral:lncRNA from 1 species
AAACUCCCUAAACUAUAGCAAUCACAUGUAAUCAAUCAUAUCGUAAUGAACCACUCAAGUGUCACAACUAGAUCAACAAUAUGAUGAAUCUCAAUCUCUUGAUAAAUUCACCCUAUCCUUUAAUGAUACUUCUCCAAUCUCUUGGAUGGAAGCUACCGGUAACGGAGUAAUUAAAAGUGCGUUGAUCUUAUGUUACACUCUAUGUUUCAAUCUCUCGACCGGAAACACUCAAGUGCUCAACGAAUUCAUGUCGGAUUUUAACUCAUAUUCUCAUACAUAAUCAAAAUCUAAAAUCAUUGCAAAGUUGAUCAGAAAUUGUAAAGCAUUAAGAACUGAAAUUCAUUGAAUAACACUUAUACAAGAGAGAUUCAUUACAAAUAUGAGGAAUUACAUAAGAUUACAUCAGUUUAGUUCAUAUUCUAGAUCCAACCUCUAUGAGGAUUUAGUUCCUCAUGGUGACAAGCAAGGAUCCAAGCUCCAACUCCACAAGAUUUGCUCCCAUGUUGUUGAACUUCUUGAAUCUAGCCACUGGAACGCAGGAUCUCACUCCAAUUGAUGCACAAGAACUCUUAAAAUCAGGUUUCAACUCCAAAGUUUCGAACCCUUUUCAAGAAAAUGAAGUUUCUUUAAAUACAGAUCGCAACCACGCCGCGCGCCAAAUCUACCACGCUGC